rnacentral:rRNA from 1 species
AGUGAACGCUGGCGGUAGGCCUAACACAUGCAAGUCGAACGGCAGCACAGUAAGAGCUUGCUCUUACGGGUGGCGAGUGGCGGACGGGUGAGGAAUACAUCGGAAUCUACUUUUUCGUGGGGGAUAACGUAGGGAAACUUACGCUAAUACCGCAUACGACCUACGGGUGAAAGCAGGGGAUCUUCGGACCUUGCGCGAUUGAAUGAGCCGAUGUCGGAGUAGCUAGUUGGCGGGGUAAAGGCCCACCAAGGCGACGAUCCGUAGCUGGUCUGAGAGGAUGGUCAGCCACACUGGAACUGAGACACGGUCCAGACUCCUACGGGAGGCAGCAGUGGGGAAUAUUGGACAAUGGGCGCAAGCCUGAUCCAGCCAUACCGCGUGGGUGAAGAAGGCCUUCGGGUUGUAAAGCCCUUUUGUUGGGAAAGAAAAGCAGCAGGUUAAUACCCCGCUGUUCUGACGGUACCCAAAGAAUAAGCACCGGCUAACUUCGUG